rnacentral:rRNA from 1 species
GCAGUCGAGCGCCCCGCAGGGGAGCGGCGGACGGGUGAGUAACGCGUGGGAAUUUUCCUCAAGGUACGGAACAACUCAGGGAAACUUGGGCUAAUACCGUAUGAUGUCUAGCGACCAAAGAUUUAUCGCCUUGGGAUAAGCCCGCGUCAGAUUAGGUUGUUGGUGGGGUAACGGCCUACCAAGCCUGCGAUCUGUAGCUGGUCUGAGAGGACGAUCAGCCACACUGGGACUGAGACACGGCCCAGACUCCUACGGGAGGCAGCAGUGGGGAAUCUUGCGCAAUGGGCGAAAGCCUGACGCAGCCAUGCCGCGUGAAUGAUGAAGGUCUUAGGAUUGUAAAGUUCUUUCGCCCGUGACGAUGAUGACGGUAACGGGAGAAGAAGCCCCGGCUAACUUCGUGCCAGCAGCCGCGGUAAUACGAAGGGGGCUAGCGUUGUUCGGAAUUACUGGGCGUAAAGCGCGCGUAGGCGGCUUUGCAAGCCAGAGGUGAAAUGCCUGAGCUUAACUUAGGAAUUGCCUUUGGGACUGCGAGGCUUCGAGGACUGGAGAGGUGAGUGGAAUUCCCAGUGUAGAGGUGAAAUUCGUAGAUAUUGGGAAGAACACCGGUGGCGAAGGCGGCUCACUGGCCAGUUUCUGACGCUGUAGCGCGAAAGCGUGGGGAUCAAACAGGAUUAGAUACCCUGGUAGUCCACGCCGUAAACGAUGAGUGCUAGGCGUCGGCACGCUU